UCUCCGUUGGUGAACCAGCGGAGGGAUCAUUACCGAGUUUACAACUCCCAAACCCCAUGAGAACCUUACCAAACGUUGCUUCGGCGGGAUGCCCCGGGCGCGGGCCGCAAGGCCUCAGCCCCGGAACCAGGCGCCCGCCGGAGGCCCAAACCAAACUCUUGUUUUUGUAGAAUCUUCUGAGUGGCCUUUUAGGCAAAAAAUGAAUCAAAACUUUCAACAACGGAUCUCUUGGUUCUG
rnacentral:misc_RNA from 1 species